rnacentral:lncRNA from 1 species
CUGGCCUUGAAGGAAUCGUAGAGAUUCAGGGUGCUGCCCUUCCUUAGUGGAAAUCCUACUAGUUGAAAGUAGAAGAGUGGAUUAGGAGCUUGAGUCUCUGAACCACUUAAAACCUAUUGUGUCUUUUACAUUAUGUCAUUUACAUUAUAUCUAUAACUGUUAUAACUGCUAUGUAUGUUCUAACUGCUUACAACUAAAC